AGCUGCGACAGGGCCAGAUGCACUCGAGGCACGCAAAUUUCGGUCCGGAUUCUUCCAAGGGAGAUGGAGUAAUGCGUCAGGCCUGUGCGGUGGCAACAAAAAAGACCUGGACCAGAGCGUCUCCCACCCGGGAUUGCAGGAGGGCCGGAGGGAGUGCUGCUUAGUGACUGACAAGAGCGUAGGCUGUCCCCCAUCUUCCUAACAGCGACGUGGGGUGGGGAGGGACAAAAUGAGGGCUGGACUGAGGUAUGGAAGGAUCCCGCGCGCUGGCUGCAACAGAGCCGGCAGGUAAAAGCAGUAUCUGGAUCCUGGGUGAUGCGACAGGAAGGGGAUGUGGUGUGGAUCCCGCUACCCUGGGAGACCAGACCUACAAUAAAAAAAUAAAUAAAUAAAUUAAUUAAAAAAAAAAACGAGGGAGGGACGCAAAGCCAGGACUGGAGCGUAGGUAGGAUGGGAUGAGAACAGCCCCCCUCCCCCAAACAGAAGAGAGAGCCUUGGCAACCGGACAGGGUCCUGGAGCUGACCAGGCUGCAGGAGCGGAGGAGAGGGCUGCAACCAAGGCUUUGCAUAGAUGCUACUGUCUCAUUCUGCAGCAGUCUGGCCUGGAACUACAGAACCCAGGCUGGACUCAAAUUAAUGGCAAUUCUCCUGCCUCAGCCUCCUGAAUUCUAGGACAUCAGGAGUGUGCACAGCACCCACGUGGAAGUCAGAGAAGAGUGCUUGGCAGUGGCGCAGUGGCUCUCUCCUUGGGUCUUCACCUUCUGAAGGGCGUGCUCCAGGAACUUGAACUCAGAACUCAGGAUUGGCAGCAAGUGUUCAGCCAUUUUGAUGACCCCAUUGGUUUUUGGUUUUUUUUUUGUUUUGUUUUUGUUUUUUCUAAGAUAGGGUUUCUCUGUGUAGCCCUGGCUGUCCUGGAACUCGGUCUGUAGACCAGGCUGGCCUCGAACUCAGAAAUCUGCCUGCCUCUGCCUCCCAAGUGCUGGGAUUAAAGGCCUGUGCCACCAUGCCCAGCUUGACCCCAUUGUUUUUAUGUGUUUAAUUUUCUUUUUAAACAUGGCCUUACUAUGUAACCCUGACUAGCUUGAAACUUGCUAUGUAGAACAGGCUGGUCUUGAACUCACAGAGAUCCACCUGCCUCUGGAUGAAGUGGAAAUUUCUGGUUUCUUUAGCAACUCCCUUGUAUCGUGUGAUGUUUUCCUGGACGUUGUCUUCUGAGAGGGCGUGUGAUGUUUUGCUGCAGACACUUGAGAGGGCUUGUGAUGUUUAGAAAGAAUAUAAAUGGAACCCCACAAACUGUGGGGAGACGCUCUUGCAUUGAUACACUGUACAAUGCUUCGCUGGUCUUCACUUCAUAGAGAGAAACGCAUCAAAGAACUUCUCCUGGUAUUCUGGCUGAUGCCGGUCGCUUCUGCUGACUCAGGGAUGUAGCAGACCCUUGCGGCUUCUGCUGGAUUGAGCUGCCACUACUGAUUCAUGUUUGGUGUUUGCUGUUGGACCGGACUGCUGGUAUCCUGACAACAAAGAGAAGAAUCACCCCAAGAAGCUACUUCUAGUCCGGUCCACCCGUUUCCAAUUAACCUUCUUUUUCCACUUUGUCUGGUUGGUAAGUUAGAAGAGCGGUUGAAGAGUUUAAGAACCUUAAAUAAGGGGGCUCAAGAGAUGGCUCAUCAGUUAGGAUUACUGACUGCUCUUCCAGAAAUCCCAGGUUCAAUUCCCAGCAACCACAUGGUAGUUCACAACCAUCUGUACUGGGAUCGGAUGCCCUCUUUUGGUGUUUCUGAAGACACCAACAAUGUACUCACAUAAAAUAGAAUAAAUAAAUCUUAAAACAAACAAA